rnacentral:rRNA from 1 species
UACGUAGGCAGCGAGCGUUGUUCGGAGUUACUGGGCGUAAAGAGUGCGUAGGCGGUUUCUAAGUUUGGUGUGAAAUCCCCCGGCUUAACCUGGGAACUGCGUCCGAUACUGGAUGGCUUGAAUCCGGGAGAGGGAUGCAGAAUUCCAGGUGUAGCGGUGAAAUGCGUAGAUAUCAGGAGGAACACCGGUGGUGUAGACGGCUCACUGGACCGUAACUGACGCUGAGACACGAAAGCGUGGGUAGCAAACAGG